UCUGGCUAGUGGAAGACAGCUAUGUGUAUGCUAAUAGUUACUGUGCAUACGGUAACGCCGCAUCACCAAAGAGUAACGUUAUGUUAUGCAAUAACACGAGGCAUAAUGUCUCAUUAGGCCUCCUUAAACACUGUGUUUUGUUUUAGAAAAAAUCUUUUGUAUUCAUUCAAAAGAUGGGAAAAUCAUGGUCCAAUCAGUUGCAUACAAAAUCUUUCUGUAUGAAUAGAAAACACAGGUAAACUAUAGCUAGCCUACAGUACUAAAUACUUGUCUCUUUUCUCCUCGUAGUUUCUGUCAACCCAUCCUAUCCCCAUCUGAAUCAUCUAAAUAAACCCAAAGGCACUUUUAAGAGUCAUCUAUCUAUCUAUCUAUCUAUCUAUCUAUCUAUCUAUCUAUCUCUAUUUGUUAACUGUUUGUUAGUCUGCCUGUUUGUCUGUAUUCGUUUGUUUGUUUGUUUGGUCUGUAUCUGUCUGUAUAACUAUGGACAGAUAUACCAUUGACCGCCCGAAUCCCCAAUACAAAGAGGGAAGGCGAAUGGCUGCUGAACUGAGGCAUGAGCAGAUUCUCGCUGAAGCCAGGAUUAGUGUUUUCAUCAUACUUUACUUGACAUGUCGUUGACGAAUUAUAUUAAAUGUUAGUAGAAAUAUGAGUGCGUAAGAUUUUAUACUUUUUUUAUUAAACAAGGCAGUUGAGUAGUUAACAUCCAAGCAUGCUUAUGCCAUGUUUAGACAUGAUGAAAAAGGCCCAGAUGAUGCUGUCUUUGUAUCAGCAGUUAAUAAUAUGUGCUCUUAGAUCUAUGGAGAAGACUUCAGUAAACAAAUGAAGAAACUGAUGCCAAAUGCAGACCUUUCAUGACUGCAGUGCUUCUGCAUUCGUGAAAUAUGUAUGCAAAACAUUGAAGAGCAAGUUUUCCAAAUGUAACUGUCCUUAACUACAGAGGGGGAUACAUAUUAGGUAUAUUAUGGUAAGGGUCAGAUAGUGUAUAAAUCCCUCAAUGCAAUAGAUGUUGGGGUUUGCUUUAGUUUGUCACCUGUUUUUGAUUCUAGUACCUUUAACCACAUCAGUUUGACAAGACUGUUAUUUAUUAACACAUGGAAAGCAGCUCAGAUCAGGAAACGGGCAUGCUCUGGAAGAGACUCGCCAUCAAAGAAGACAAGGCAACGGCAAGGCAAGCCCAGGGGGAGGUGUGGUGGUCGACGCAGAGCCUCAGCUACAGUGUCACAGCCUCCAACUGAGUGCUCCCUGUCAUCCAGUGUGGAACAUCUGCCUAGUUUACCCUCAGCAAGUCCUUUGAUGACAUUUGAAAAAUAUGGAGAGGCUCUCUGCUAUUUUAGCAUCAUGCCAUUCUGGUGAGCCUCAAAAAUGUUCAGCAACAUCCUGGUCUUGUCAUCAGCAGAAAGCCUCAGAGACCACACAACCUCCAAUGCCUCAUAGAGAAAGAGGCUGUUGGUCAUCCUCUGUGCUGCCUCUGCAAUGAGCCUGCUGUCAUUCGUCUGGACAUAUCAAUGGAGAUGCACUGCAGCGCAGUUUCUUAGAGUUUUCAUACUCUUCGUUUGAGGAAAAUCAACAGUGCUGUGGUGCUGAUUUCACCUGCCCAGCCUGCACACCUGAAAUGUUGGCUGUUUCUGCAGAUGGAAACAGAAAGCAAUAUCGCUUUGGCCAAAGUGGAAGCUCUGAUGACCCUGCCUUUUUUGAGGGCCUCUUUGUGGCAAAAGACAGUGAAGUGUCCACAUUUACCGAGACCAUCCAAAAAGCAGUGAAAAAUGCAAGUAUUAUUGAUAAUGUGACAAAAUAGCUAUAUUACUGAAAUAUUACCGAAACUGAAUUGAGAGAAACACUGGCCUAUAUAGCAGACCCAAUUGCAUUCAUUUUACUGUGUUCAGCAAACAUCACGAUAAAGAAGAGACUGUACGACCAGGUGAUGCUAACAAUGCGACUGCAAGAGGAGAAGAACAUUUUGGUGCUGGAGAUGGCACAACAUUGCACAUGGUUGCAGAAGCAGGCAGAGGAGCUUGAGAACAAGGUGGCUGAGAAUGGCAAGCUAAAACAAAAAGAACAGGGCAACAAAGGACUUUGCUGUCUCUUAGGUCCUGAGGCUUCUGCCCAUCUUCAUGUUGAGGACGAGGAUCAAAGUGCCCUCAGCAGUCCAGACACUAGUGACGACGAAGAGGAUAUCACAAUUUAGAUUGAUGCUGCAGGACAGACUGUGGUGAAGGACAUGGACUUGGAUCUGCCGGCCUCCCACUCUACACCUGCCCUGCUGCUGCAAUCAAGCCACCUGGUUUCCGCCAGCUCAUUACCAAAUCUGCAUUUAUGGUGCAUUCCAGACAACCUAUCUCGUUUUCUAUUUCAUAUGUGGUCAACAUGCACCGUAUCCAUGGGUUUCGUAUGACGUCACACAGUGGUCAUGGCGCCAUCUUUCGGACCAAACGUCAACCUGUCAUCUAUAUUCUGUAUAUAUGUUUCAUCAAUAUACAGUCUCAUCUUCAUGUACUGUAAUCCAGGGGUGUGUUGACACCAAUAUUAAAUAAUAGGUUCACUAGAUCACAACAUGUUUCAAAUAUUAUGUUGACAUUACUGAUGAAACUUAGUCAGCUAAACUAAGUUUAAUUGUCAAUUUUUCUGACAUGACUAGUUGCAGUCAGACUCAAACCCCACUUCUUUCCAGGAAAAGGGAGAUAACAGCAGCUUUAUUUUGAGAGUAGUAAUGGGAGAGAGUACUUCCUGUGAUUUCUUGUAAAGUGAAAGCCUUUCACUUCUGGUUACUUCUGCUUUU